GACGAACGCUGGCGGCGUGCUUAACACAUGCAAGUCGAACGGAAAGGCCCUGCUUUUGUGGGGUGCUCGAGUGGCGAACGGGUGAGUAACACGUGAGUAACCUGCCCUUGACUUUGAGAUAACUUCAGGAAACUGGGGCUAAUACCGGAUAGGAGCUCCUGCUGCAUGGUGGGGGUUGGAAAGUUUCGGCGGUUGGGGAUGGACUCGCGGCUCAUCAGCUUGUUGGUGGGGUAGUGGCUUACCAAGGCUUUGACGGGUAGCCGGCCUGAGAGGGUGACCGGCCACAUUGGGACUGAGAUACGGCCCAGACUCCUACGGGAGGCAGCAGUGGGGAAUAUUGCACAAUGGGCGGAAGCCUGAUGCAGCAACGCCGCGUGCGGGAUGACGGCCUUCGGGUUGUAAACCGCUUUCGCCUGUGACGAAGCGUGAGUGACGGUAAUGGGUAAAGAAGCACCGGCUAACUACGUG
rnacentral:rRNA from 1 species